UACAGAGGGUGCGAGCGUUGUUCGGAAUUAUUGGGCGUAAAGGGCGCGUAGGCGGUGCGGUAAGUCACCUGUGAAAUCUCCUGGCUCAACUGGGAGCUUGCAGGCGAAACUGCCGUGCUGGAGUGUGGGAGAGGUGCGUGGAAUUCCUGGUGUAGCGGUGAAAUGCGUAGAUAUCAGGAGGAACACCUGUGGCGAAAGCGGCGCACUGGACCACAACUGAUGCUGAGGCGCGAAAGCUAGGGGAGCAAACAGG
rnacentral:rRNA from 1 species